rnacentral:rRNA from 1 species
AUUGAACGCUGGCGGCAGGCUUAACACAUGCAAGUCGAACGAGUGGCGGACGGGUGAGUAAUGCUUGGGAAUCUAGCUUAUGGAGGGGGAUAACUACGGGAAACUGUAGCUAAUACCGCGUACCAUAGGAUGAGCCCAAGUGGGAUUAGGUAGUUGGUGAGGUAAAGGCGCACCAAGCCGACGAUCUCUAGCUGGUCUGAGAGGAUGACCAGGCAAAAUGGGAAGUAGAAACGGCCCAGACUCCUACGGGAGGGAGCAGGUGGGAAUAUUGGGCAAGGGGGGGAAGCUGACGUAGCCAUUCCGGGUGAAUGAAGAAGGUCCUAGGGUUGGAAAAGUCUUUUGUGAGCGGAGCGGUAACUACAGAAGAAGCACCGGCUAACUCCGUGCCAGCAGCCGCGGUAAUAC